UUUGUUGUGUUACCUUAUUAUUAUGGUGUGUUCCCGUUGAGAGGAAAAUUGCUUAAUGUGAGGGAAGCAAGCCAUAAACAAAUCAUGGAGAACGCUGAAAUUCAGAGCAUCAAGCAGAUUCUUGGACUUCAGCAUGGAAAAACAGUAUGACAGUGUGAAGACUUUGACAUAUGGUCAUUUGAGGAUCAUGACUGAUCAGAAAUGUCAUUUGGGGAAGCAAUCUUGCAAGGAGUUACCUGACAGCUCUAAAGAUGCGUCUUGCAUUGCUGAGAGUCAAGACACUGGUUCAUGUACAGCAUCAUCGUCAAAACUAUCCAAGAUUUAAAUGAG